rnacentral:rRNA from 1 species
AACGAACGCUGGCGGCAUGCCUAACACAUGCAAGUCGAACGAGACCUUCGGGUCUAGUGGCGCACGGGUGCGUAACGCGUGGGAACCUGCCCUUAGGUUCGGAAUAACUCCCCGAAAGGGGUGCUAAUACCGGAUAAUGUCUUCGGACCAAAGAUUUAUCGCCUUUGGAUGGGCCCGCGUUGGAUUAGCUAGUUGGUAGGGUAAAAGCCUUCCAAGGCGACGAUCCAUAGCUGGUCUGAGAGGAUGAUCAGCCACACUGGGACUGAGACACGGCCCAGACUCCUACGGGAGGCAGCAGUGGGGAAUAUUGGACAAUGGGCGAAAGCCUGAUCCAGCAAUGCCGCGUGAGUGAUGAAGGCCUUAGGGUUGUAAAGCUCUUUUACCCGGGAUGAUAAUGACAGUACCGGGAGAAUAAGCUCCGGCUAACUCCGUGC